rnacentral:misc_RNA from 1 species
GAUGAAGAACGCAGCGAAAUGCGAUAAGUAGUGUGAAUUGCAGAAUUCAGUGAAUCAUCGAAUCUUUGAACGCACAUUGCGCCCCUUGGUAUUCCGGGGGGCAUGCCUGUUCGAGCGUCAUUAUCACCCCUCAAGCUCAGCUUGGUGUUGGGGCCUGCCCGUCACAGGGCAGCCCUUAAAAGCAGUGGCGGUGCCAUCUGGCUCUACGCGUAGUAAUACUUCUCGCGACAGAGUCCCGGUGGUGUCCUGCCAGAACCCCCCAUAUUUUUAAUGAUUGACCUCGGAUCAGGUAGGGAUACCCGCUGAACUUAAGCAUAUCAAUAAGCGGAGGA